UACGGAGGGUGCAAGCGUUGUUCGGAAUCACUGGGCGUAAAGCGCGUGUAGGCGGCUAUCUAAGUCUGAUGUGAAAGCCCUGGGCUCAACUCAGGAAGUGCAUUGGAUACUGGAUAGCUGGAGUACCGGAGAGGAGGGUGGAAUUCCUGGUGUAGCGGUGAAGUGCGUAGAUAUCAGGAGGAACACUGGUGGCGAAGGCGUCCCUCUGGCCGGAUACUGACGCUGAGACGCGAAAGCGUGGGGAGCAAACAGG
rnacentral:rRNA from 1 species